rnacentral:lncRNA from 1 species
AGGCACACUCGCCCCUCUCUCUCUUCCUUCUUCUUCCACCCCUAGCCGCCGACUGUUCGGUCCCAAAUCUAACCCCCCGAUUCUAGAUCCACGCACCAUAGAUCUCAGCUGUCAGAUCCUUGCCAACGCGCCUCUCACCAGAUCCAUGCCGACCUGCUCAUCCACUCUUCCCCAUCCAGGUGCUCGUGGAUCUCGCCGUCGGGGGCUCCUUCUCGAAUCUGUUUGCAAGUCCCCAACCUCAACCAGCGACGCCAACCACCACCACCCCUCUCAUGUUGUCGUCCCUCGCCAGCCACACCGUGGUAGGGGAUGCCGCUUCCCCUCUGUCCCUGAUCCUCCCCGAGCCACCUCUCAUGAUUUCGUCUGAUCCCCGAUGCGUGCGUGCGUGUGGGAAGUGUUCGUGCGCCACCAUGCCGCCCCGAUUCACCAGAUCUCGUCAUCCUCCUCUUCCAGAUCCUCCACAGUCCCGUCCAUGGUCAUCUGCCCCUCUGCAUCCUACAACCGCCGCGACGAUAGGCUUUACCCUGGAGGCAGGGGAACCUUGUGCACGCGACGCCUGUAUCGUUGUUGCUGGUCGGACGGUGGUC